UGUUCGAGCGUCAUUACACCACUCAAGCCUGGCUUGGUAUUGGGCGCCGCGCCCGUCGCGCGCCCUAAUGUCGCCGGCCGAGUCGUCUGUCUCCGAGCGUUGUGAAUCUCAUUCGCUCCUGGGGAUCCAGACGGCGCGCGCCGUUAAACCUCUUUUUACAGGUUGACCUCGGAUCAGGUAGGGAUACCCGCUGAACUUAA
rnacentral:misc_RNA from 1 species